rnacentral:rRNA from 1 species
ACGUACACUCCUACGGGAGGCAGCAGUGGGGAAUAUUGGACAAUGGGCGCAAGCCUGAUCCAGCCAUGCCGCGUGAGUGAUGAAGGCCCUAGGGUUGUAAAGCUCUUUCACCGGUGAAGAUAAUGACGGUAACCGGAGAAGAAGCCCCGGCUAACUUCGUGCCAGCAGCCGCGGUAAUACGAAGGGGGCUAGCGUUGUUCGGAUUUACUGGGCGUAAAGCGCACGUAGGCGGACUAUUAAGUCAGGGGUGAAAUCCCGGGGCUCAACCCCGGAACUGCCUUUGAUACUGGUAGUCUUGAGUUCGAGAGAGGUGAGUGGAAUUCCGAGUGCAGAGGUGAAAUUCGUAGAUAUUCGGAGGAACACCAGUGGCGAAGGCGGCUCACUGGCUCGAUACUGACGCUGAGGUGCGAAAGCGUGGGGAGCAAACAGGAUUAGAAACCCUGGUAGUCCCAUGA